rnacentral:rRNA from 1 species
AGCAGCCGCGGUAAUUCCAGCUCCAAUAGCGUAUAUUAAAGUUGUUGCAGUUAAAAAGCUCGUAGUUGAAUUUCGGGAUUGACGUGAUGGUCGUGCCUUAAGGGGUAUGAACUGUCGCAGUUGAUUUCUCACCUUCUGGAGAAGCAUGAUGUCCUUAAUUGGGUGUCAUGUGGAACCAGGACCUUUACCUUGAAAAAUUAGAGUGUUUAAAGCAGGCAUUUUGCUCGAAUACAUUAGCAUGGAAUAAUAGAAUAGGACGGCAUGGUUCUAUUUUGUUGGUUUCUAGGAUCACCGUAAUGAUUAAUAGGGAUAGUUGGGGGCAUUAGUAUUCAAUUGUCAGAGGUGAAAUUCUUGGAUUUAUUGAAGACUAACUACUGCGAAAGCAUUUGCCAAGGAUGUUUUCAUUAAUCAAGAACGAAAGUUAGGGGAUCGAAGACGAUCAGAUACCGUCGUAGUCUUAACCAUAAACUAUGCCGACUAGGAAUCAGACGAUGUUAAUUUUUAANGACUUCGG